UACGUGGCCACUUACUGCCACUCACUAAAGUAUUAACAAUCAAAGGAAGAAAAGUCAAUAAAAGAAAAGAAGAUAGAGAGAUAUGAAAUGUGUGGGGCUGUGCAAAAUCUGCAGCAGCCUCCAAUCCCCUUCAAUUUCCACUCACUCUUACCUCCCCACCACUACCAUAAAAAUCAUUAAAGUUGAGAGAAAGAAAAUGAGUGUGCUGCCCACCACCCUUGUUCCCCAUCUCUUUAGCCGCCCUCUUUUAAUAUCAACUCCCAUCAACCAACAACUCCUUCUCAUAUAAUCUCUUUUUAAGCUAGCAUUCCUCUCAUUUUCUUCAUUGGCGCAUCGGCAAUCAAACGAAAAGGGAGAUUCAUUGUGCUGCCAGAGGUAAGCCUAGGCUUAAAUCCCUCCAUUUCCUUCAUAAGUUCAGCCUGCAAUUGUUAAGCAAAUAAGCAAUUUAUUUCAGUUUCUAUCCAUUGAGCUCCAGAGCAACCAACCAAAAACACAAGAACAUUCAAGGUAUUUUUACAUCGGUAUGCUUUCUUCUUUGUUACACGCCUCAUUUCCCAUGAAGCAUAUGAUCAGUUUAUUUGAAAAGCAUAGUAGGAGACGAAUGGUAUAAUCUUUUAUCCAUAUAGAAUCAACAACCCAUGACUUUCACACAAGGCAAAUACAAUGAGAAUUUCUGACGACACAUAGCAAAACCAUGAUGCCUAGUUUCAAUCUAUAGCAUAAACGACAAUAGGAGCCAAAGGUUUAAUU
rnacentral:lncRNA from 1 species